CGUGCGGAGCUGGGAUGUUGAAUCGCAGUUCAUGCGAUGGUGACGAGGAAGCCGGUGCNAANCCGGCACGGUCCCGCCACUGUGAGUGAGGAGUCGUCCCCACCCGCGCCACUGCCGGACAUCCGGCGGGAAGGCAGGGGACGAUGCGGAUCCACGAGUCAGGAGACUCCCACCGUCGCGCCGAAUCGU
rnacentral:ncRNA from 2 species